rnacentral:rRNA from 1 species
AGUGAACGCUGGCGGUAGGCCUAACACAUGCAAGUCGAACGGCAGCACAGUAAGAGCUUGUUCUUACGGGUGGCGAGUGGCGGACGGGUGAGGAAUACAUCGGAAUCUACUUUUUCGUGGGGGAUAACGUAGGGAAACUUACGCUAAUACCGCAUACGACCUACGGGUGAAAGCAGGGGAUCUUCGGACCUUGCGCGAUUGAAUGAGCCGAUGUCGGAUUAGCUAGUUGGCGGGGUAAAGGCCCACCAAGGCGACGAUCCGUAGCUGGUCUGAGAGGAUGAUCAGCCACACUGGAACUGAGACACGGUCCAGACUCCUACGGGAGGCAGCAGUGGGGAAUAUUGGACAAUGGGCGCAAGCCUGAUCCAGCCAUACCGCGUGGGUGAAGAAGGCCUUCGGGUUGUAAAGCCCUUUUGUUGGGAAAGAAAAGCAGCGGGUUAAUACCCCGCUGUUCUGACGGUACCCAAAGAAUAAGCACCGGCUAACUUCGUG